GAUAAACGCUGGCGGCGUGCCUAAAACAUGCAAGUCGGACGGCCCGCGUCCUUCGGGGCGUGGGCAGUGGCGGACGGCUGAGUAACACGUGGGUGACCUGCCCUCGCGCGGGGGAUAACUGCCCGAAAGGGUGGCUAAUACCGCAGAUGUCGCGCAUUCGGUUGGGCGACUGAACUCUACGGGGGUGCGGGGAGGGGCCCGCGGCCGAUUAGCUGGCUGGUGGGGUGACGGCCUACCAGGGCGACGAUCGGUAGCUGGUCUGAGAGGAUGAUCAGCCAGACUGGGACUGCGAACGGCCCAGACUCCUACGGGAGGCAGCAGUUAGGAAUUUUGGGCAAUGGGCGAAAGCCUGACCCAGCAACGCCGCGUGGGUGACGAAGGCCCUCGGGUCGUAAAGUCCUUUUCCCAGGGAAGAUGGUGACGGUACCUGGGGAAUCAGCCCCGGCUAACUACGUGCCAGCCGCCGCCGUAACAC
rnacentral:rRNA from 1 species